rnacentral:rRNA from 1 species
ACUCCUACGGGAGGCAGCAGUAGGGAAUCUUCCGCAAUGGGCGAAAGCCUGACGGAGCAACGCCGCGUGAGUGAUGAAGGUCUUCGGAUCGUAAAACUCUGUUAUUAGGGAAGAACAAAUGUGUAAGUAACUAUGCACGUCUUGACGGUACCUAAUCAGAAAGCCACGGCUAACUACGUGCCAGCAGCCGCGGUAAU